CCUACGGGAGGCAGCAGUGAGGAAUAUUGGUCAAUGGACGUAAGCCUGAACCAGCCAAGCCGCGUGAGGGAUGAAGGUUCUAUGGAUCGUAAACCGCUUUUAUAAGGGAAUAAAGUGCGGGACGUGUCCCGUUUUGUAUGUACCUUAUGAAUAAGGAUCGGCUAACUCCGUGCCAGCAGCCGCGGUAAUACGGAGGAUUCGAGCGUUAUCCGGAUUUAUUGGGUUUAAAGGGUGCGUAGGCGGCCUUUUAAGUUAGAGGUGAAAGUCCGUGGCUCAACCACAGAAUUGCCUUUGAAACUGGGCGGCUAGAGAGUGUUUGCGGCAGGCGGAAUGCGUGGUGUAGCGGUGAAAUGCUUAGAUAUCACGCAGAACCCCGAUUGCGAAGGCAGCCUGCCAAGCCAUGACUGACGCUGAUGCACGAAAGCGUGGGGAUCAAACAGGAUUAGAUACCCGUGUAGUC
rnacentral:rRNA from 1 species